rnacentral:rRNA from 1 species
GAUAAACGCUGGCGGCGUGCCUAAUACAUGCAAGUCGAGCGAACGGACGAGAAGCUUGCUUCUCUGAUGUUAGCGGCGGACGGGUGAGUAACACGUGGAUAACCUACCUAUAAGACUGGGAUAACUUCGGGAAACCGGAGCUAAUACCGGAUAAUAUUUUGAACCGCAUGGUUCAAAAGUGAAAGACGGUCUUGCUGUCACUUAUAGAUGGAUCCGCGCUGCAUUAGCUAGUUGGUAAGGUAACGGCUUACCAAGGCAACGAUGCAUAGCCGACCUGAGAGGGUGAUCGGCCACACUGGAACUGAGACACGGUCCAGACUCCUACGGGAGGCAGCAGUAGGGAAUCUUCCGCAAUGGGCGAAAGCCUGACGGAGCAACGCCGCGUGAGUGAUGAAGGUCUUCGGAUCGUAAAACUCUGUUAUUAGGGAAGAACAUAUGUGUAAGUAACUGUGCACAUCUUGACGGUACCUAAUCAGAAAGCCACGGCUAACUACGUGCCAGCAGCCGCGGUAAUACGUAGGUGGCAAGCGUUAUCCGGAAUUAUUGGGCGUAAAGCGCGCGUAGGCGGUUUUUUAAGUCUGAUGUGAAAGCCCACGGCUCAACCGUGGAGGGUCAUUGGAAACUGGAAAACUUGAGUGCAGAAGAGGAAAGUGGAAUUCCAUGUGUAGCGGUGAAAUGCGCAGAGAUAUGGAGGAACACCAGUAGCGAAGGCGACUUUCUGGUCUGUAACUGACGCUGAUGUGCGAAAGCGUGGGGAUCAAACAGGAUUAGAUACCCUGGUAGUCCACGCCGUAAACGAUGAGUGCUAAGUGUUAGGGGGUUUCCGCCCCUUAGUGCUGCAGCUAACGCAUUAAGCACUCCGCCUGGGGAGUACGACCGCAAGGUUGAAACUCAAAGGAAUUGACGGGGACCCGCACAAGCGGUGGAGCAUGUGGUUUAAUUCGAAGCAACGCGAAGAACCUUACCAAAUCUUGACAUCCUUUGACAACUCUAGAGAUAGAGCCUUCCCCUUCGGGGGACAAAGUGACAGGUGGUGCAUGGUUGUCGUCAGCUCGUGUCGUGAGAUGUUGGGUUAAGUCCCGCAACGAGCGCAACCCUUAAGCUUAGUUGCCAUCAUUAAGUUGGGCACUCUAAGUUGACUGCCGGUGACAAACCGGAGGAAGGUGGGGAUGACGUCAAAUCAUCAUGCCCCUUAUGAUUUGGGCUACACACGUGCUACAAUGGACAAUACAAAGGGCAGCGAAACCGCGAGGUCAAGCAAAUCCCAUAAAGUUGUUCUCAGUUCGGAUUGUAGUCUGCAACUCGACUACAUGAAGCUGGAAUCGCUAGUAAUCGUAGAUCAGCAUGCUACGGUGAAUACGUUCCCGGGUCU